rnacentral:rRNA from 1 species
CGUGUAGCGGUGAAAUGCGUAGAGAUGUGGAGGAACACCAGUGGCGAAGGCGACUCUCUGGUCUGUAACUGACGCUGAGGAGCGAAAGCGUGGGGAGCGAACAGGAUUAGAUACCCUGGUAGUCCACGCCGUAAACGAUGAGUGCUAAGUGUUAGGGGGUUUCCGCCCCUUAGUGCUGCAGCUAACGCAUUAAGCACUCCGCCUGGGGAGUACGGUCGCAAGACUGAAACUCAAAGGAAUUGACGGGGGCCCGCACAAGCGGUGGAGCAUGUGGUUUAAUUUGAAGCAACGCGAAGAACCUUACCAGGUCUUGACAUCCUCUGACAAUCCUAGAGAUAGGACGUCCCCUUCGGGGGCAGAGUGACAGGUGGUGCAUGGUUGUCGUCAGCUCGUGUCGUGAGAUGUUGGGUUAAGUCCCGCAACGAGCGCAACCCUUGAUCUUAGUUGCCAGCAUUCAGUUGGGCACUCUAAGGUGACUGCCGGUGACAAACCGGAGGAAGGUGGGGAUGACGUCAAAUCAUCAUGCCCCUUAUGACCUGGGCUACACACGUGCUACAAUGGGCAGAACAAAGGGCAGCGAAACCGCGAGGUUAAGCCAAUCCCACAAAUCUGUUCUCAGUUCGGAUCGCAGUCUGCAACUCGACUGCGUGAAGCUGGAAUCGCUAGUAAUCGCGGAUCAGCAUGCCGCGGUGAAUACGUUCCCGGGCCUUGUACACA